UAGCCUUUAGCAUUUAGUAUUAAAGGUGACGCCUGCCCAGUGAUAUUAUUUAAACGGCCGCGGGAUCUUACACCGUGCAAAGGUAGCAUAAUCACUUGUCCCCUAAAUAGUGACUAGUAUGAACGGCCAAAUGAAGAUUUAACUGUCUCUUAUAACCAAUCUAUGAAAUUAAUCUUUCAGUACAAAAACUGAAAUAAGAUCAUAAGACGAAAAGACCCUGUGGAACUUUAAGUGAUAAUCAUUAUAAAUGAUUUAAAAACUUUUAGUUGGGGCAACUUUGGAAAAAAACAAAACUUCCAACCUAGAACAUAAAUAUGACACAUUUACGUUUAUAUUUAUUGACCCAGUAUUACUGAUCAAAGAACCAAGCUACCCCAGGGAUAACAGCGCCAUCCCCUCUUAGAGCCCAAAUCGACGAGUGGGGUUUACGACCUCGAUGUUGGAUCAGGGCCCCCAAACAGUGCAACAGCUGUUAAUGGUUUGUUUGUUCAACAAUUAAUGC
rnacentral:rRNA from 1 species